rnacentral:rRNA from 1 species
AGCGCCGAUGGUACUUGGACCGCAGGGUCCUGGGAGAGUAGGACGCCGCCAAGC